AACGAACGCUGGCGGCAGGCUUAACACAUGCAAGUCGAGCGCCCCGCAAGGGGAGCGGCAGACGGGCGAGUAACGCGUGGGAACGUACCUUUUGGUUCGGAACAACUCCGGGAAACUGGAGCUAAUACCGGAUAAGCCCUAACGGGGAAAGAUUUAUCGCCGAAAGAUCGGCCCGCGUCUGAUUAGCUAGUUGGUGAGGUAACGGCUCACCAAGGCGACGAUCAGUAGCUGGUCUGAGAGGAUGAUCAGCCACACUGGGACUGAGACACGGCCCAGACUCCUACGGGAGGCAGCAGUGGGGAAUAUUGGACAAUGGGCGCAAGCCUGAUCCAGCCAUGCCGCGUGAGUGAUGAAGGCCUUAGGGUUGUAAAGCUCUUUUGUCCGGGAAGAUAAUGACUGUACCGGAAGAAUAAGCCCCGGCUAACUUCGUG
rnacentral:rRNA from 1 species